rnacentral:rRNA from 1 species
CUCCAAAAACUUAGUCCCAGUUCAGAUUGCAGGCUGCAACUCGCCUGCAUGAAGUCGGAAUUGCUAGUAAUCGUGGAUCAGCAUGCCACGGUGAAUACGUUCCCGGGCCUUGUACACACCGCCCGUCAAGCCAUGGAAGCCGGGGGGCGCUUGAAGUGCGUUGCCGUAAGGCGCGCCCUAGAGCGAAACCGGUGACUGGGGCUAAGUCGUAACAAGGUACC